GAUGAACGCUGGCGGCGUGCCUAAUACAUGCAAGUCGAGCGACCAGAUGAGGAGCUUGCUCCUCUGACGUUAGCGGCGGACGGGCGAGUAACACGUGGAUAACCUACCUAUAAGACUGGGAUAACUUCGGGAAACCGGAGCCACUACCGCAGAAUAUAUUGAACCGCAUGGAUCAAUAGUGAAUGAGGGGUUUGCCGUUACUUAUAGAUGGAUCCGCGUCGCAUUAGCUAGUUGGUAAGGUAACGGCUUACCAAGGCAACGAUGCGUAGCCGACCUGAGAGGGUGAUCGGCCACACUGGAACUGAGACACGGUCCAGACUCCUACGGGAGGCAGCAGUAGGGAAUCUUCCGCAAUGGGCGAAAGCCUGACGGAGCAACGCCGCGUGAGUGAUGAAGGUCUUCGGAUCGUAAAACUCUGUUAUUAGGGAAGAACAAAUGUGUAAGUAACUAUGCACGUCUUGACGGUACCUAAUCAGAAAGCCACGGCUAACUACGUG
rnacentral:rRNA from 1 species